UACGAAGGGGGCUAGCGUUGCUCGGAAUCACUGGGCGUAAAGCGCACGUAGGCGGCUUCUUAAGUCGAGGGUGAAAUCCUGGAGCUCAACUCCAGAACUGCCUUCGAUACUGAGGAGCUUGAGUCCGGGAGAGGUGAGUGGAACUGCGAGUGUAGAGGUGAAAUUCGUAGAUAUUCGCAAGAACACCAGUGGCGAAGGCGGCUCACUGGCCCGGUACUGACGCUGAGGUGCGAAAGCGUGGGGAGCAAACAGGG
rnacentral:rRNA from 1 species